AUGUGAAAUCCUGCGGCUUAACCGCAGAACUGCAUUUGAAACUGUUGAUCUUGAGUACUGGAGAGGACAGUGGAACUCCAUGUGUAGCGGUGGAAUGCGUAGAUAUAUGGAAGAACACCAGUGGCGAAGGCGGCUGUCUGGUCUGCAACUGACGCUGAGGCUCGAAAGCAUGGGUAGCGAACAG
rnacentral:rRNA from 1 species